GAUGAACGCUAGCGGCAGGCUUAACACAUGCAAGUCGAACGGCAGCACAGGUAGCAAUACUGGGUGGCGAGUGGCGCACGGGUGCGUAACGCGUAUGCAACCUACCUCUAUCUGGGAGAUAGCCCGAAGAAAUUCGGAUUAAUACCCCAUAAUAUAUGUCUUUCGCAUGUUAGACAUAUUAAAGCUUUGGCGGAUAGAGAUGGGCAUGCGUGACAUUAGCUAGUUGGUAAGGUAACGGCUUACCAAGGCUACGAUGUCUAGGGGGUCUGAGAGGAUUAUCCCCCACACUGGUACUGAGACACGGACCAGACUCCUACGGGAGGCAGCAGUGAGGAAUAUUGGACAAUGGGCGAAAGCCUGAUCCAGCCAUGCCGCGUGCAGGAAGACGGCCCUAUGGGUUGUAAAACUGCUUUUAUAUGGGAAUAAACCUCCGAACGUGUUCGGAGCUGAAGGUACCAUACGAAUAAGGAUCGGCUAACUCCGUGCCAG
rnacentral:rRNA from 1 species